rnacentral:rRNA from 1 species
UACAGAGGUGGCAAGCGUUGUUCGGAAUUACUGGGCGUAAAGGGCGCGUAGGCGGCCUUCUAAGUCAGACGUGAAAUCCCCCGGCUUUAACCUGGGAACUGCGUCUGAUACUGGGGGGCUUGAGUAUGGGAGAGGGAUGUAGAAUUCCAGGUGUAGCGGUGAAAUGCGUAGAUAUCUGGAGGAAUACCGGUGGCGAAGGCGGCAUCCUGGACCAUUACUGACGCUGAGGCGCGAAAGCCAGGGGAGCGAACGGG